rnacentral:rRNA from 1 species
ACCAGACUCCUACGGGAGGCAGCAGUGAGGAAUAUUGGUCAAUGGGCUUACGCCUGAACCAGCCAAGUCGCGUGAGGGAGGACUGCCCUAUGGGUUGUAAACCUCUUUUGUCAGGGAGCAAUUGGCGCUACGUGUAGCGUUAUCGAGAGUACCUGAAGAAAAAGCAUCGGCUAACUCCGUGCCAGCAGCCGCGGUAAUACGGAGGAUGCGAGCGUUAUCCGGAUUUAUUGGGUUUAAAGGGUGCGUAGGCGGUGCGAAUAGUCACGGGGAAAAGCCGGGGGCGCAACCCCGGCGAGCCGUUGAAACUGUCGGACUAGAGACGGCGAGAAGUACGCGGAAUGCGCGGUGUAGCGGUGAAAUGCAUAGAUAUCGCGCAGAACUCCGAUUGCGAAGGCAGCGUACCGGCGCCGGACUGACGCUGAGGCACGAAAGCGUGGGUAUCGAACAGGAUUAGAUACCCUCGUACGA